rnacentral:rRNA from 1 species
AACGUAGGAGGCAAGCGUUAUCCGGAUUUACUGGGCAUAAAGGGCGUCUAGGCGGUGUCUUAAGUUGGGCGUGAAAUCUCCCGGCUCAACCGGGAGGGGCCGUUCAAUACUGGGACACUUGAGGGCAGGAGAGGAAAGUGGAAUUCCCGGUGUAGUGGUGGAAUACUUAGAUAUCGGGAGGAACACCAGUGGCGAAGGCGGCUUUCUGGCCUGUACCUGACGCUGAAGCGCGAAAGCGUGGGUAGCGAACGGGAUUAGAUACCCCCGUA